GCGUUACUACCAACCUCGCCCACCACGUUGGGGAUAACCUUGACGAAAGUAAGACUAAUACCCAAUGACGUCUCUAGAAGACAUCUGAAAGAGAUUAAGAUUUAUCGGUGAUGGAUGGGGAUGCGUCUGAUUAGCUUGUUGGCGGGGUAACGGCCCACCAAGGCGACGAUGCGUAGGGGUUCUGAGAGGAAGGUCCCCCACACUGGUACUGAGACACGGUCCAAACUCCUACGGGAGGCAGCAGUGAGGAAUAUUGGUCAAUGGGCGAGAGCCUGAACCAGCCAAGUAGCGUGCAGGACGACGGCCCUAUGGGUUGUAAACUGCUUUAUAAGGGAAUAAAGUGAGAGUCGUGACUCUUUUGCAUGUACCUUAUGAAUAAGGACCGGCUAAUUCCGUG
rnacentral:rRNA from 1 species